CCUACGGGAGGCAGCAGUGGGGAAUAUUGCACAAUGGGGGAAACCCUGAUGCAGCGACGCCGCGUGAGUGAAGAAGUAUUUCGGUAUGUAAAGCUCUAUCAGCAGGGAAGAAAAUGACGGUACCUGAUUAAGAAGCCCCGGCUAACUACGUGCCAGCAGCCGCGGUAAUACGGAGGGGGCAAGCGUUAUCCGGAUUUACUGGGUGUAAAGGGAGCGUAGACGGUGAUGCAAGUCAGAAGUGAAAGCCCGGGGCUCAACUCCGGGACUGCUUUUGAAACUGUGUGACUGGAGUGAAGGAGAGGUAAGCGGAAUUCCUGGUGUAGCGGUGAAAUGCGUAGAUAUCAGGAGGAACACCAGUGGCGAAGGCGGCUUACUGGACUGUAACUGACGUUGAGGCUCGAAAGCGUGGGGAGCAAACAGGAUUAGAUACCCCAGUAGUC
rnacentral:rRNA from 1 species